rnacentral:rRNA from 1 species
GAUGAACGCUGGCGGCGUGCCUAAUACAUGCCAGUCGAGCGAACAGACGAGGAGCUUGCUCCUCUGACGUUAGCGGCGGACGGGUGAGUAACACGUGGAUAACCUACCUAUAAGACUGGGAUAACUUCGGGAAACCGGAGCUAAUACCGGAUAAUAUAUUGAACCGCAUGGUUCAAUAGUGAAAGACGGUUUUGCUGUCACUUAUAGAUGGAUCCGCGCCGCAUUAGCUAGUUGGUAAGGUAACGGCUUACCAAGGCAACGAUGCGUAGCCGACCUGAGAGGGUGAUCGGCCACACUGGAACUGAGACACGGUCCAGACUCCUACGGGAGGAAGCAGAAGGGAAUCUUCCGCAAUGGGCGAAAGCCUGACGGAGCAACGCCGCGUGAGUGAUGAAGGUCUUCGGAUCGUAAAACUCUGUUAUUAGGGAAGAACAAAUGUGUAAGUAACUAUGCACGUCUUGACGGUACCUAAUCAGAAAGCCACGGCUAACUACGUG